rnacentral:misc_RNA from 1 species
UCUGAUUUUCCCUUUCGCUUGUCAUUCGAGGGUCGGAGAUCAAACCUAAAAACGCCACAUGACCGACCAAAUUCAGGUGUCAAUGGACGCUAGCCAAGAAGCGGACAUCUCGGUGUUGCCGGAAGGUUGCAUAUCAAACGUGCUGUCGUUUACAAGUCCUCGCGAUGCCUGCACUUUGUCCAUCGUCUGUUCUUUGUUCAAGAAUGCUGCCCUUUCCGACACCGUUUGGGAGAGUUUCCUGCCAGCGGAUUUUCAGUCUAUUAUCUCCCGCUCCAGCGAUUAUUAUUCUCUAUUGGCUUCUUCCUCUUCCAAGAAACAACUCUUUCUCAGACUCUGCCAAAAUCCAAUCCUCAUCGACGAGGGCAAAAAGAGUUUUGCGUUGGAAAAAUGGACUGGGAAGAUAUGUUAUAUGCUUUCUGCAAGGGACCUCACGAUUGUCUGGAGCGAUACUCCUACUUAUUGGAGAUGGGUAUCCGAACCGGAUUCCAGAUUUGCAGAAGUGGCUGUGCUUAUCAUGGUAUGUUGGCUUGAAAUCAGUGGCAAAAUCAAUACUCAAAUGUUGUCCCCGGCAACAUUGUAUACAGCUUAUUUGGUGUUCAAAUUAGCAACAGGAGCUUUUGGGUUUCAAUCCCUCCCUGCAGAGGUCAGUGUGGGACUUGCUGGAAGUGAAAGCUUUACGCGUGGUGUUUUUUUGGACGCAAAAAGAGGACGGAGAAGGCGACAUGGUAUGCUUAGCCGCAGCUGGCAUUUCGGGUUGCGAGCAUCUGUGCCCACUGGAGGAAGCGAUGGCGGAUACCCUAAAGAGAGAGCAGAUGGGUGGCUGGAGAUUAAAUUGGGUGAGUUUUUUAACAAGGAAAGCGUAGAUGGGGAAUUGGAGAUGAGUAUUUUGGAGGUGAAAGGUGGUCACUGGAAACGUGGUCUCGUUGUUCAAGGGAUAGAGAUCAGGCCAAAAAGAGAGUAAAAAUCUAAGGUGGCAAUUGCAUUUGGGGACAUUGGCAAUAUAACUAGAUAGAGUGAGAGGUCCAUCAUCCAUGCCAUGGGUUAGAGUUACUUCUCUUGCCAUUAUGUACGUGGAAUGAAUUAUAUAUCUAAAUAAAAUAUCAUU